GUGGGGAAUCUUGCGCAAUGGGCGAAAGCCUGACGCAGCCAUGCCGCGUGAAUGAUGAAGGUCUUAGGAUUGUAAAAUUCUUUCACCGGGGACGAUAAUGACGGUACCCGGAGAAGAAGCUCCGGCUAACUUCGUGCCAGCAGCCGCGGUAAUACGAAGGGGGCUAGCGUUGCUCGGAAUUACUGGGCGUAAAGGGCGCGUAGGCGGACAGCUUAGUCAGAGGUGAAAGCCCAGGGCUCAACCUUGGAAUUGCCUUUGAUACUGGCUGUCUUGAGUUUGGGAGAGGUGAGUGGAACUCCGAGUGUAGAGGUGAAAUUCGUAGAUAUUCGGAAGAACACCAGUGGCGAAGGCGACUCACUGGCCCAAUACUGACGCUGAGGCACGAAAGCGUGGGGAUCGAACAGGAUUAGAAACCCGGGUAGUCC
rnacentral:rRNA from 1 species